UACGAAGGGGGCGAGCGUUGUUCGGAAUCACUGGGCGUAAAGCGUGCGUAGGCUGUCUAGCAAGUUGGACGUGAAAUCCCGAGGCUUAACCUCGGAAUUGCUUUCAAAACUGCUAGACUCGAAUUCGGGAGAGGAUAGCGGAAUUCCCAGUGUAGUAGUGAAAUACGUAGAUAUUGGGAGGAACACCAGUGGCGCAAGCGGCUAUCUGGACCGACAUUGACGCUGAGGCACGAAAGCGUGGGGAUCAAACAGG
rnacentral:rRNA from 1 species